AAACCGUGGUGAGGAUAUUCUCUGAUGUAGCCUUUAUAACGGUCCCAAGCUUCAUGAAAAAGGUUCGCCUCCUUUUUGUUGGAACCUAUAAAUCUUGUCUCUAAAGAAGUUU
rfam:Eutrema salsugineum unplaced genomic scaffold scaffold_4, whole genome shotgun sequence.